AACUACCACAGGAACAUACAAGGAAAGCUGAGAAAAUCCGCAGACCCUUUGAAGGAACUGGAUCACCACUGCAGGCUCCCUGAGAUGCUGAAAAACUCACCAUUCACAAUAGCAAAGACAUGGAGACAACCUAAAUGACCAUCAAUGGUAGACUGGAAUAAAGAGAAUGUAGUAUAUAUACACCAUGGAAUACUAUGCAGCCACAAAAAAGAACCAGAUUCAUGUCUGUCUCAGGCAGUGGUGAGACAAGAUGGUGGAUCCCCACACCAUUAUCCAUCAGACCCUGUGCUCCAUAGGGAAAGGGCAUAUGUGACUCAGAGGAAUGUGUAGGACAAUUGCUCAAGGGCAAGACACAUGGAGAAGCCUCAUACAGUGGCUGGGUGAAGUGACUUUUGUACUCUACUGCAAGUAGUGAUGUCUCAGUGAAGGUCUAUCAAUGAGAAGAAAGUGCCAACUAAAAACUUUUAGAAAAUACCCAGUUUACUCAAGGAAAAUAACAUGCAUUGAAGGCGAUUGCUCAAUAGAGAGAAGUUGAAACAGCAGACUAAUUGCCUGUUUGUGACACCCAUGUAAUCAACUUGGUGAAAGUUACAUUGAUACAGACACAAGCUAAAAAUUUGAUGGCCAAUAAGGGACAUGAUCCAUUUCCCAGCGCCUAUAGGUUGAGGUUGAUCUGAAAGAUAGGACUAUUUGUGAUCCAGAAUCAAAAGAGUCAAGAAAAGUCUGAGAAUUUCAUCCUUGGAGCAGAAAGUAAAAGUGUUCUAGAGCCAAAAGUAGUAACAAAGAUGGAGGGCAAGAGA
rnacentral:lncRNA from 1 species